GAUGAACGCUGGCGGCGUGCCUAAUACAUGCAAGUCGAGCGAAUGGAUUAAGAGCUUGCUCUUAUGAAGUUAGCGGCGGACGGGUGAGUAACACGUGGGUAACCUGCCCAUAAGACUGGGAUAACUCCGGGAAGCCGGGGCUAAUACCGGAUAAUAUUUUGAACUGCAUGGCUCAGAAUUGAAAGGCGGCUUCGGCUGUCACUUAUGGAUGGACCCGCGUCGCAUUAGCUAGUUGGUGAGGUAACGGCUCACCAAGGCAACGAUGCGUAGCCGACCUGAGAGGGUGAUCGGCCACACUGGGACUGAGACACGGCCCAGACUCCUACGGGAGGCAGCAGUAGGGAAUCUUCCGCAAUGGACGAAAGUCUGACGGAGCAACGCCGCGUGAGUGAUGAAGGCUUUCGGGUCGUAAAACUCUGUUGUUAGGGAAGAACAAGUGCUAGUUGAAUAAGCUGGCACCUUGACGGUACCUAACCAGAAAGCCACGGCUAACUACGUGCCAGCCGCCGCGGUAA
rnacentral:rRNA from 1 species